rnacentral:rRNA from 1 species
AAACCUUUACACUGCACGACAGUGCGAUAGGGGGACUCCGAGUGUGAGGGCAUAUAGCCCUCGCUUUUCUGAACCGUAAGGUGGUUCAGGAACAAGGACUGGGCAAGACCGGUGCCAGCCGCCGCGGUAAUACCGGCAGUCCGAGUGAUGGCCGAUAUUAUUGGGCCUAAAGCGUCCGUAGCUUGCUGUGUAAGUCCAUUGGGAAAUCGACCAGCUCAACUGGUCGGCGUCCGGUGGAAACUACACAGCUUGGGGCCGAGAGACUCAACGGGUACGUCCGGGGUAGGAGUGAAAUCCUGUAAUCCUGGACGGACCACCAAUGGGGAAACCACGUUGAGAGACCGGACCCGACAGUGAGGGACGAAAGCCAGGGUCUCGAACCGGAUUAGAUACCCGGGUAGUCCUGGCUGUAAACAAUGCUCGCUAGGUAUGUCACGCGCCAUGAGCACGUGAUGUGCCGUAGUGAAGACGAUAAGCGAGCCGCCUGGGAANACUCCGCAAGA